rnacentral:lncRNA from 8 species
AUGACGAACCCUAACUCCGCCGCAUUUUGGUCCACUUCUUCCGUAGACAGCCGUUACAGAAUUACCCACCAAACCAGGACCAAGCGGCGGAAGAGGAAGGAGCAGCAGGACUACUGCGUUAUGGACAAAUGGACAUGGGAACAGAUCCUGGACGGAGAGGGACCAUGGACUCAGGCUGGGGAUUAUCGCCUCCCGCAGUGGGAGAUUGAAGCGGCGAGAGCGGAGAGGCGAUACUACGAGGAGAGAGAGCGCAACGAGCGCGAGAGGCAGCCCCAAUAUUUUUUUUGGGGGGGGCACACGGGACAGUCGGUGGAGCUGAGGUCGGAACCAGAGCCAGUCGGGAUGACAUUGGAGGUGAGCGAGGGCUAUGAGACAGAGACUGUGACGGGGUUAAUGGGAAAAUUAGGAGAGAGAGAGAUGAGAGAGCUGCUAGUGUGGUGCAUAAAGUACGGCAUUCGCCCUAAUGAGCGUGUCGUGGGUAUGAUGUCACCUGAGGCAGCUCUCCAUACUCGUCCUGAGGUGCGUGCUGGUUGUCUGGUAAAGACUGUGCCUGCGCCCAGAAACAGGCCUCCUCCAUGUCUUCCCAGCCCUGCACAUCCUGUACCUACGCCCAGAACCAAGCCUCCUGCAUGUCUUCCUAUCCUGGUCAAGCCCGUGCCUCCUCCACGGACCAGUACUCCAGUGGGUCUCCCUAUCCUGGUCAAGCCCGUGCCUCCUCCACAGACCAGUACUCCAGUGGGUCUCUCUAUCCUGGUCAAGCCCGUGUCUCCUCCACGGACCAGUCCUCCAAUGGAUCUCCCUAUCCUGGUCAAGCCCGUGUCUCCUCCACGGACCGGUCCUCCAGUGGGUCUCUCCACCCUGGUCUCUCCUGUGCCACCUCCUCAAGCCAGGCCUCCGUUAUGUCUCCCCAGCCUGGUGAAUCCUGAGUCGGAGCUGCCCGCCAGUCAACAGUCGUCAGAGCUGCCCACCAGUCAACAGUCGUCAGAGCUGCCCGCCAGUCAACAGUCGUCAGAGCUGCCCGCCAGUCAACAGUCGUCAGAGCUGCCCGCCAGUCAACAGUCGCCAGAGAGGUCAGACUGCCCUGAACUGCCGGAGUGGCCAGACUGCCCUGAACUGCCGGAGUGGCCAGACUGCCCUGAACUGCCAGAGUGGCCGGACUGCCCUGAACUGCCAGAGUGGCCGGACUGCCCUGAACUGCCGGAGUGGCCGGACUGCCCUGAACUGCCAGAGUGGCCGGACUGCCCUGUUCUGCCAGAGUGGCCGGACUGCCCUGUUCUGCCGGAGUGGCCGGACUGCCCUGUUCUGCCGGAGUGGCCGGACUGCCCUGUUCUGCCAGACUGCCCGGUUCUGCCAGAGGUGCCCGCCUGCCCUGAUCUGCCAGGGUGCCCGGCCUGUCAGGAUCAGCCCGAGUGGUCCUCCUGCCCUCCGGUCCAGCCCGAGUGGUCCUCCUGCCCUCCGGUCCAGCCCGAGUGGUCCUCCUGCCCUCCGGCCCAGCCCGAGUGGCCCGCAUGCCUUCCGGCCCAGCCCGAGUGGCCCGCAUGCCUUCCGGCCCAGCCCGAGUGGCCCGCAUGCCUUCCGGCCCAGCCCGAGUGGCCCGCAUGCCUUCCGGCCCAGCCCGAGUGGCCCGCAUGCCUUCCGGCCCAUCCCGAGUGGCCCGCAUGCCUUCCGACCCAGCCCGAGUGGUCCGUCUGCCAGGGUCAGCCCGAGUGGCCCGUCUGCCCGGCGCAGCGAUCGGCGCCAACAGAGUGGGCGACGCCGAAGGUGGAGCGAGGUCCACGUCCUGCACCUGAGCCACCUCCAGGAUAG